CUUUAAUUAACCCGUUUUCUGUUUGCUGCUUUUUUUCUGUUUUCCAAGACGAGGGGACGAAAACUUGUACAGAAAUAUUCGUUAGGGGGCAACGAUAAUCUAAUAUUGUACGAGUAUCUAUUUAACUAUGGCACGCCGCCGGGUUCGUGUAAAUCGUCUGAAAGGUCUGUUACGCGGAGACUUUUCUUCCGGUCGAAGAGAAAACGGAAGGAGGAUCCGUUAUAACGGACCCUAUUUGUUCACAAAAUCGAAUUUAUUUCGACUAUAAUACUAUAAUAAUAUAAUAUUGUACUGGUGAACUAGCGCAUAUAAGUGGGCUUGUUAUUCCGUAACAAGAAAAAUAUCUUAUUCUUUCACGGUCUAAUAUUGGCCAUUCGGACCCUCUUACGCCUAUCCAUACUUCUCCGUUGUCAGCUAAUUCUUCGCCGUUUAUUACUCCUUGUAUUUACAGAUCGCUCCUAACUCUAUCUACCCUUCUUUGUUUUGGUCACCGUAAUGACAUUUUUCCAUUGGGGAUCCAUUUCUCACAUUUCAAAUUGUCCUGUCAUGUUAAUACACUUGUUCUCUAUUGUCAUCACUAUGUCUUC